rnacentral:rRNA from 1 species
AACCUUUACACUGCACGACAGUGCGAUAGGGGGACUCCGAGUGUGAGGGCAUAUAGCCCUCGCUUUUCUGUACCGUAAGGUGGUACAGGAACAAGGACUGGGCAAGACCGGUGCCAGCCGCCGCGGUAAUACCGGCAGUCCGAGUGAUGGCCGAUAUUAUUGGGCCUAAAGCGUCCGUAGCUUGCUGUGUAAGUCCAUUGGGAAAUCGACCAGCUCAACUGGUCGGCGUCCGGUGGAAGCUACACAGCUUGGGGCCGAGAGACUCAACGGGUACGUCCGGGGUAGGAGUGAAAUCCUGUAAUCCUGGACGGACCACCAAUGGGGAAACCACGUUGAGAGACCGGACCCGACAGUGAGGGACGAAAGCCAGGGUCUCGAACCGGAUUAGAUACCCGGGUAGUCCUGGCUGUAAACAAUGCUCGCUAGGUAUGUCACGCGCCAUGAGCACGUGAUGUGCCGUAGUGAAGACGAUAAGCGAGCCGCCUGGGAAGUACGUCCGCAAGGAUGAAACUUAA